rnacentral:rRNA from 1 species
CAUGGUUAAGUGGGAAACGAUGUGGGAAGGCCCAGACAGCCAGGAUGUUGGCUUAGAAGCAGCCAUCAUUUAAAGAAAGCGUAAUAGCUCACUGGUCGAGUCGGCCUGCGCGGAAGAUGUAACGGGGCUAAACCAUGCACCGAAGCUGCGGCAGCGACGCUUAUGCGUUGUUGGGUAGGGGAGCGUUCUGUAAGCCUGUGAAGGUGUGCUGUGAGGUAUGCUGGAGGUAUCAGAAGUGCGAAUGCUGACAUAAGUAACGAUAAAGCGGGUGAAAAGCCCGCUCGCCGGAAGACCAAGGGUUCCUGUCCAACGUUAAUCGGGGCAGGGUGAGUCGACCCCUAAGGCGAGGCCGAAAGGCGUAGUCGAUGGGAAACAGGUUAAUAUUCCUGUACUUGGUGUUACUGCGAAGGGGGGACGGAGAAGGCUAUGUUGGCCGGGCGACGGUUGUCCCGGUUUAAGCGUGUAGGCUGGUUUUCCAGGCAAAUCCGGAAAAUCAAGGCCGAGGCGUGAUGACGAGGCACUACGGUGCUGAAGCAACAAAUGCCCUGCUUCCAGGAAAAGCCUCUAAGCAUCAGGUAACAUCAAAUCGUACCCCAAACCGACACAGGUGGUCAGGUAGAGAAUACCAAGGCGCUUGAGAGAACUCGGGUGAAGGAACUAGGCAAAAUGGUGCCGUAACUUCGGGAGAAGGCACGCUGAUACGUAGGUGAAGCGACUUGCUCGUGGAGCUGAAAUCAGUCGAAGAUACCAGCUGGCUGCAACUGUUUAUUAAAAACACAGCACUGUGCAAACACGAAAGUGGACGUAUACGGUGUGACGCCUGCCCGGUGCCGGAAGGUUAAUUGAUGGGGUUAGCGCAAGCGAAGCUCUUGAUCGAAGCCCCGGUAAACGGCGGCCGUAACUAUAACGGUCCUAAGGUAGCGAAAUUCCUUGUCGGGUAAGUUCCGACCUGCACGAAUGGCGUAAUGAUGGCCAGGCUGUCUCCACCCGAGACUCAGUGAAAUUGAACUCGCUGUGAAGAUGCAGUGUACCCGCGGCAAGACGGAAAGACCCCGUGAACCUUUACUAUAGCUUGACACUGAACAUUGAGCCUUGAUGUGUAGGAUAGGUGGGAGGCUUUGAAGUGUGGACGCCAGUCUGCAUGGAGCCGACCUUGAAAUACCACCCUUUAAUGUUUGAUGUUCUAACGUGGACCCGUGAUCCGGGUUGCGGACAGUGUCUGGUGGGUAGUUUGACUGGGGCGGUCUCCUCCUAAAGAGUAACGGAGGAGCACGAAGGUUGGCUAAUCCUGGUCGGACAUCAGGAGGUUAGUGCAAUGGCAUAAGCCAGCUUGACUGCGAGCGUGACGGCGCGAGCAGGUGCGAAAGCAGGUCAUAGUGAUCCGGUGGUUCUGAAUGGAAGGGCCAUCGCUCAACGGAUAAAAGGUACUCCGGGGAUAACAGGCUGAUACCGCCCAAGAGUUCAUAUCGACGGCGGUGUUUGGCACCUCGAUGUCGGCUCAUCACAUCCUGGGGCUGAAGUAGGUCCCAAGGGUAUGGCUGUUCGCCAUUUAAAGUGGUACGCGAGCUGGGUUUAGAACGUCGUGAGACAGUUCGGUCCCUAUCUGCCGUGGGCGCUGGAGAACUGAGGGGGGCUGCUCCUAGUACGAGAGGACCGGAGUGGACGCAUCACUGGUGUUCGGGUUGUCAUGCCAAUGGCACUGCCCGGUAGCUAAAUGCGGAAGAGAUAAGUGCUGAAAGCAUCUAAGCACGAAACUUGCCCCGAGAUGAGUUCUCCCUGACCCUUUAAGGGUCCUGAAGGAACGUUGAAGACGACGACGUUGAUAGGCC